rnacentral:misc_RNA from 1 species
GAUGAAGAACGCAGCGAAAUGCGAUACGUAAUGUGAAUUGCAGAAUUCAGUGAAUCAUCGAGUCUUUGAACGCACGUUGCGCCCCCUGGUAUUCCGGGGGGCAUGCCUGUCCGAGCGUCAUUGCUGCCCUCAAGCACGGCUUGUGUGUUGGGCCUCCGUCCUCCUCCCGGGGGACGGGCCCGAAAGGCAGCGGCGGCACCGCGUCCGGUCCUCGAGCGUAUGGGGCUUCGUCACCCGCUCUUGUAGGCCCGGCCGGCGCUUGCCGACACAUCAAUCUUUUUUCCAGGUUGACCUCGGAUCAGGUAGGGAUACCCGCUGAACUUAAGCAUAUCAAUAAGCGGAGGA